GCCGGGCGUGGUGGCGCGCGCCUGUAGUCCCAGCUACUCGGGAGGCUGAGGUGGGAGGAUCGCUUGAGUCCAGGAGUUCUGGGCUGCAGUGCGCUAUGCCGAUCGGGUGUCCGCACUAAGUUCGGCAUCAAUAUGGUGACCUCCCGGGAGCGGGGGACCACCAGGUUGCCUAAGGAGGGGUGAACCGGCCCAGGUCGGAAACGGAGCAGGUCAAAACUCCCGUGCUGAUCAGUAGUGGGAUCGCGCCUGUGAAUAGCCACUGCACUCCAGCCUGGGCAAUAUAGUGAGUCCCUGUCUCU
ensembl:misc_RNA Metazoa_SRP Metazoan signal recognition particle RNA